CAGUAGCCGCGGGAAUACGAAGGGUGCAAGCGUUAUUCGGAAUUACUGGGCGUAAAGCGUGCGUAGGUGGUGGUUUAAGUCCGUUGUGAAAGCCCUGGGCUCAACCUGGGAAUUGCAGUGGAUACUGGGUCACUAGAGUGUGGUAGAGGAUAGUGGAAUUUCCGGUGUAGCAGUGAAAUGCGUAGAGAUCGGAAGGAACAUCUGUGGCGAAGGCGACUAUCUGGGCCAACACUGACACUGAGGCACGAAAGCGUGGGGAGCAAACAGGAUUAGAUACCCCCGUAGUCCCUGUCUCUUAUAC
rnacentral:rRNA from 1 species